rnacentral:rRNA from 1 species
ACGAACGCUGGCGGCGUGCCUAAUACAUGCCAGUUGAGCGAUGAAGAUUGGUGCUUGCACCAAUUUGAAGAGCAGCGAACGGGUGAGUAACGCGUGGGGAAUCUGCCUUUGAGCGGGGGACAACAUUUGGAAACGAAUGCUAAUACCGCAUAAUAACUUUAAACAUAAGUUUUAAGUUUGAAAGAUGCAAUUGCAUCACUCAAAGAUGAUCCCGCGUUGUAUUAGCUAGUUGGUGAGGUAAAGGCUCACCAAGGCGAUGAUACAUAGCCGACCUGAGAGGGUGAUCGGCCACAUUGGGACUGAGACACGGCCCAAACUCCUACGGGAGGCAGCAGUAGGGAAUCUUCGGCAAUGGACGAAAGUCUGACCGAGCAACGCCGCGUGAGUGAAGAAGGUUUUCGGAUCGUAAAACUCUGUUGGUAGAGAAGAACGUUGGUGAGAGUGGAAAGCUCAUCAAGUGACGGUAACUACCCAGAAAGGGACGGCUAACUACGUG